rnacentral:rRNA from 1 species
AGUGAACGCUGGCGGUAGGCCUAACACAUGCAAGUCGAACGGCAGCACAGGAGAGCUUGCUCUCUGGGUGGCGCGUGGCGGAUGGGUGAGGAAUACAUCGGAAUCUACUCUGUCGUGGGGGAUAACGUAGGGAAACUUACGCUAAUACCGCAUACGACCUACGGGUGAAAGCAGGGGACCUUCGGGCCUUGCGCGAUUGAAUGAGCCGAUGUCGGAUUAGCUAGUUGGCGGGGUAAAGGCCCACCAAGGCGACGAUCCGUAGCUGGUCUGAGAGGAUGAUCAGCCACACUGGAACUGAGACACGGUCCAGACGCCUACGGGAGGCAGCAGUGGGGAAUAUUGGACAAUGGGCGCAAGCCUGAUCAGCCAUACCGCGUGGGUGAAGAAGGCCUUCGGGUUGUAAAGCCCUUUUGUUGGGAAAGAAAUCCAGCUGGCUAAUACCCGGUUGGGAUGACGGUACCCAAAGAAUAAGCACCGGCUAACUUCGUGCCAGCAGCCGCCGUAA